rnacentral:rRNA from 1 species
AUUGAACGCUGGCGGCAGGCUUAACACAUGCAAGUCGAACGAGUGGCGGACGGGUGAGUAAUGUCUGGGACACUGCCUGAUGGAGGGGGAUAACUACUGGAAACGGUAGCUAAUACCGCAUACCAUCAGAUGUGCCCAGAUGGGAUUAGCUAGUUGGUGGGGUAACGGAUCACCAAGGCGACGUUCCCUAGCUGGUCUGAGAGGAGGACCAGCCACACUGGAACUGAGACACGGUCCACACUCCUCCGCGAGGCAGCAGUGGGGAAUAUUGCACAAUGGGCGCAAGCCUGAUGCUGCCAUGCCGCGUGUAUGAAGAAGGCCUUCGGGUUGUAAAGUACUUUCAGCGGGGAGGCGUUACUCGCAGAAGAAUCACCGGCUAACUCCGUGCCAGCAGCCGCGGUAAUAC